UAAUACAGAGGGUGCAAGCGUUGUUCGGAAUUAUUGGGCGUAAAGCGCGUGUAGGCGGCUUUGCAAGUCAGAUGUGAAAGCCCUCGGCUUAACCGAGGAAGUGCGUCUGAAACUGCAGAGCUUGAGUGUCGGAGAGGAUGGCGGAAUUCCGCAAGUAGAGGUGAAAUUCGUAGAUAUGCGGAGGAACACCGGUGGCGAAGGCGGCCAUCUGGACGACGACUGACGCUGAGACGCGAAAGCGUGGGGAGCAAACAGG
rnacentral:rRNA from 1 species